rnacentral:rRNA from 1 species
CAGUAGCCGCGGUAAUUCGAAGGGUGCAAGCGUUAAUCGGAAUUACUGGGCGUAAAGCGUGCGUAGGCGGUUUGUUAAGUCUGUUGUGAAAUCCCCGGGCUCAACCUGGGAAUGGCAAUGGAUACUGGCAAGCUAGAGUGUGUCAGAGGAUGGUGGAAUUCCCGGUGUAGCGGUGAAAUGCGUAGAGAUCGGGAGGAACAUCAGUGGCGAAGGCGGCCAUCUGGGACAACACUGACGCUGAGGCACGAAAGCGUGGGGAGCAAACAGGAUUAGAUACCCCCGUAGUCCCUGUCUAUUAUAC